ensembl:lncRNA
GGCAGCAGCAUGACUCAUAAAGUUGGGAAAUGGUCCUGUUUACUACUGUGUAGCAUCCCUGAUUCUUUUAACAGCAGCCUGUAAACAUCUGGGAACAGACGAGACCAGCUGCUGGAGUUUUGUGCGACUGAAGGUCCGAUCGAGGCUUCCAGCUGCUCAACACUCCUGGAUCUGCUGUGUUGUUUUUGUUUCAUGAUGAGACACAUACUGGUCAAAGGUCUGGACUGCAGUUCAGCCAUUCCCACACUCUUCUGUUAUGAAGCCAUGCUUUUGUUAUAAAUGGAAUGUGCAAUUUUGCAUUUUCGUGUUGAAGUGUACAAGGGAUUAGCUGAAAGAAAAGCCUCAUCUUGAGGAGAGCACGUGUUAAUCUAGAACCUGAAUAUACCUUUCAACAUUGGUGUUCACAUUUAAAUACAUAUAGCUUCUUUUCUGCGUGGUAGAGCUUUAACCUGCAUUUAUGGAUGGAAAUCACUGUGAAGUGUUCCUGAGCUCAUCUGUUUUUAAUGCAGUGCUGUCUGAAUAUUGAUUUUUGGGCCUUGCGCACAGAGAUUUCUCCAGAUUCGUGCAAUCGCUGUCGAUGAUGAGAUCUUCAAAGUCUUCCUCUUUUUGCGCCCAGCCACGUCACUCACCUGUUGCCAAUUAACCUGAUUAGCUGCAGUCUUCCUCCAGCUGGUGCUUUUUAGCUUUCUUCCUUUUGUUGCUCUCCUUUUAAGACACAUUGCUGCCAUUAAAUACAGAAUGGCCCUAAUUUUUUUUUCUCCUUAAAAUGGUUAUUAGAUUUAUAAAUCAUUACAUUCUGUCUUUACUUUACACAGCAUCCCAACUUUUUUGUGUCGUUAAGCCCCACUAUGUUAUAAACAUACAAAAAAGACGCCUGCAGAUUCUUUUUUUUUCCAGUAAAUGUACAUUAAUGUGUCAGUAUCACAGAGUUAAGUUAUAUGAUAUAAGAGGUCUGUACAUUUCCAGCAGGUGAGGUUUGUAACUAAGCUGUCUAGACUGCAGUGGGCCUAAAGACAAAUAGGAUGACAUUUACCAGUGUUGUGUCACAUUCAUUUUGUGCUGGGCGAAUGUUCAGAGAGCGUUCACUCAGCACAAGAUUUCUCUGCUAUCCUGCCUCAGAAGCUGGUAUAAAUAAAAUCCGAACAAAAAAGCAAAC